CGCGAUAGCUCAGUCGGUAGAGCAGGGGACUGAAAAUCCCCGUGUCGGUGGUUCGAUUCCGCCUCGCGG
rnacentral:tRNA from 1 species